GCACGCUUGGCCGAGUGGAUUUAGGCGCAGGGCCGCAAACCCUGCAAGGGCGGUUCGAUUCCGUCAGCGUGCU
rnacentral:tRNA from 1 species